UUACGGCCAUACCACGUUGAACACUGGUUCUCGAACGAUCAUCGAAGUUAAGCAACGACGAGCUUGUUUAUAAACUAGAUGGGUGGUCGCUUGGGAAUAUCAGGUGCUGUAAG